CCUACGGGAGGCAGCAGUGAGGAAUAUUGGUCAAUGGACGCAAGUCUGAACCAGCCAAGCCGCGUGCAGGAAGACGGCUCUAUGAGUUGUAAACUGCUUUUGUACGAGGACAAAGGCAGAGACGCGUAUCUGUAUGAAAGUAUCGUACGAAUAAGGAUCGGCUAACUCCGUGCCAGCAGCCGCGGUAAUACGGAGGAUUCAAGCGUUAUCCGGAUUUAUUGGGGUUAAAGGGUGCGUAGGCGGUCGGAUAAGUUAGCGGUGAAAUCCCGGGGCUCAACUUCGGACCGGCCUCUGAUACUGGUCGUCUAGAGAGGGGGUGCGGUAGGCGGAAUGUAUGGUGUAGCGGUGAAAUGCAUAGAGAUCACACAGAACACCGAUUGCGAAGGCAGCUUACCAGGCUCAUACUGACGUUGAGGCACGAACGCGUGGGGAGCGAACAGGAUUAGAUACCCCAGUAGUC
rnacentral:rRNA from 1 species